AGCGAACGCUGGCGGCAGGCCUAACACAUGCAAGUCGAACGAAGUCUUCGGACUUAGUGGCGGACGGGUGAGUAACACGUGGGAACGUGCCUUUAGGUUCGGAAUAACUCAGGGAAACUUGUGCUAAUACCGAACGUGCCCUUCGGGGGAAAGAUUUAUCGCCUUUAGAGCGGCCGGCGUCUGAUUAGCUAGUUGGUGAGGUAAAGGCUCACCAAGGCGACGAUCAGUAGCUGGUCUGAGAGGAUGAUCAGCCACAUUGGGACUGAGACACGGCCCAAACUCCUACGGGAGGCAGCAGUGGGGAAUCUUGCGCAAUGGACGAAAGUCUGACGGAGCGAUACAGCGUGGUGGACGAAGUGCUUCGGCACGUAAACACCUUUUAUGUGGGACGAAAUUAUUGACGGUACCACAUGAAUAAGGGGCUCCUAACUCUGUGCCAGCAGCCGCCGUAAGAC
rnacentral:rRNA from 1 species